rnacentral:rRNA from 1 species
GACGAACGCUGGCGGCGUGCUUAACACAUGCAAGUCGAACGCUGAACCCGCUUCGGUGGGGGAGGAGUGGCGAACGGGUGAGUAACACGUGGGCAACCUGCCCCCGGCUCUGGGAUAACUCCAAGAAAUUGGGGCUAAUACCGGAUGUGACCGCUGGCCGCAUGGUCUGGUGGUGGAAAGGGUUUCCGGCUGGGGAUGGGCCCGCGGCCUAUCAGCUUGUUGGUGGGGUAGUGGCCUACCAAGGCGACGACGGGUAGCCGGCCUGAGAGGGUGACCGGCCACACUGGGACUGAGACACGGCCCAGACCCCUACGGGAGGCAGCAGUGGGGAAUGUGGCGCAAUGGGCGGAAGCCUGACGCAGCGACGCCGCGUGGGGAUGACGGCCUUCGGGUUGUAAACCUCUUUCAGCAGGGACGAAGCGCCAGUGACGGUACCUGCAGAAGAAGCACCGGCCAACUACGUG